AGUGGACGCUGGCGGUAGGCCUAACACAUGCAAGUCGAACGGCAGCACAGUAAGAGCUUGCUCUUACGGGUGGCGAGUGGCGGACGGGUGAGGGAUACAUCGGAAUCUACUUUUUCGUGGGGGAUAACGUAGGGAAACUUACGCUAAUACCGCAUACGACCUACGGGUGAAAGCAGGGGAUCUUCGGACCUUGCGCGAUUGAAUGAGCCGAUGUCGGAUUAGCUAGUUGGCGGGGUAAAGGCCCACCAAGGCGACGAUCCGUAGCUGGUCUGAGAGGAUGAUCAGCCACACUGGAACUGAGACACGGUCCAGACUCCUACGGGAGGCAGCAGUGGGGAAUAUUGGACAAUGGGCGCAAGCCUGAUCCAGCCAUACCGCGUGGGUGAAGAAGGCCUUCGGGUUGUAAAGCCCUUUUGUUGGGAAAGAAAAGCAGCAGGUUAAUACCCCGCUGUUCUGACGGUACCCAAAGAAUAAGCACCGGCUAACUUCGUG
rnacentral:rRNA from 1 species